CUUGGGCUAUCGGUGUUUACCGAUGGAAGUUUGAGGCAUAACAGGUCUGUGAUGCCCUUAGAUUCUGGGCCGCACGCGCGCUACACUGAUGAAGUCAACGAGUUCAUUUCCUUUAUCGGAAGAUAUGGGUAAUCUUUUGAAACUUCAUCGUGAUGGGGAUAGAGCAUUGCAAUUAUUGCUCUUGAACGAGGAAUCCCUAGUAAGCACAAGUCACUAGCUUGUGCUGAUUACGUCCCUGCCCUUUGUACACACCGCCCGUCGCUACUACCGAUUGAAUGGCUUAGUGAGGCCUUCGGAUUGAGUUUUAGGAACUGGCAACAGAUCCUGAUUUUAAGAAGUUGGUCAAACUUGGUCAUUUAGAGGAAGUAAAAG
rnacentral:rRNA from 1 species